CUUAUGUCUCCUGUAUUGCCAGGCGUGUUCUUACCCACUAACACCACCUGGGAAGCUUGGGAAGUUGAAGCUCAAGUUGCUAGUACUCCUGGGGAAGGAACAAUGACAACAUCAGAUUAUCUUAAAACCAGAAGGAAAUGAGGGAAGAAACACAGUGAUCCGGAGCUGAAGCGCAGCCACGAGGAGCCAGAAAACGGAGGAGGGUGACUGUUCUGCUGAAGAGUGUACCUUCUAAUUCAGAAAACUUAGUCACCAGACUGAGAACAGAUAACAAGAGUAGGAGGAAGGACUGGGGAGUGUGGGGAAACGUUUCACAAAGCUCUGAAAUCCGCAGCAUGCAGAGCAAGCUCUUGACAAACUCGCAGCUUUCUGGAACCUUCGGAAAAUGAAAAUCCAACUCAUAGGAUAAAGCAAAUAGCCCCACUGGUUAUUUCACAGCACAUAUCUAACUAACACCCAUCAAAGCUCUGAACAGUGGAGAUGGUUCUAAAAGCAUCAUCUACCCCUAGGCAAGAUUAUAUUCAGUCCUCGAAUAAUCUAUAAAAUGUGGCUCCAUUUUGAAAAUCACCAUUUUGUGCCUAAAUGGCAUAAUGGAUAAAAAAUUGGCUCCACUAUUUCACUCAAUCUAAGGUCCCCACUCCAGUACUCUUGCCUGAAAAAUCCCAUGGAUGGUGGAGCCUGGUAGGCUGCAGUCCAUGGGGUCACUAAGAGUUGGACACGAUUGAGCGACUUCACUUUCAACUUUCACUUUCAUGCAUUGGAGAAGGAAAUGGCAACUCACUCCAGUGUUCUUGCCUGGAGAAUCCCAGGGACGGGGGAGCCUGGUGGGCUGCCGUCUAUGGGGUCGCACAGAGUUGGACAAGACUGAAGCAACUUAGCAGCAGCAGCAAAGUCCCUUAGGAGCUUCCUAGAUGUCUCAGUGGUAAAGAAUCCGCCUGCCAAUGCAGGAGAUGCAGGUUGGAUCCCCUGGAGAAGGAAAUGGCAACCCAUUCCAGUAUUCUUGCCAGGAAAAUCUAUAGGACAGAGGAGCCUGGUGGGCUACAGUCCAUGGGUUUGCAAAAGAGCUGGACACAACUUGGAUGAAACAACAACAAGGUCUCUUGGAACUCUAAGCACAAGUUUAAGAAAAAUUACCACUUUAAAAAUGGCUCUACAGGGGACGAGCAAACACAGAAACUGAUGUGGAUGCUCAUGUCACCUGUCAGCACUGGGUUAUAAGCACUCAGAUGAGUCAGUUCUUAUUUUAACUUUAUACUUUUUCAUCGGAAUGAAAACAAUUUUAAAAAUGUUUAUCAAGAAAUGAAUAGGCCCCAGAGAAGAACCCUUCCAGAUCUGUGGACCACAGUUUUAGGUAGGGGAAGCCAUGUUUGAGGCUGAGAGGCAAUGUGAUUUGACCAUUUUGUUACAGGGAAGAGCAAAAUUUGACUACAUAUUGGAUCCUAUUUUUUUUUCCCAUUUAAACUUUGCUUCUUAUUGCUUUUGUUCACUAAGAGGAUACGGUCCAUACAUAAUGGCCUGCCUCGGGGAACCCUGCCCCUCUGCCUGAAUGCUAAACCAAAAUGCCUUUAGUCAGGGAGAUGUCCUGACCCUGUCCACCUGUGAAAGGCUGCAAGAAAGAAAUUACCAUAUCAGCUUCCUGAAGCUAACCAUCCCGGUAGAUAUUUGCAAGACGUACGAACUUCCUCACCUCCUCCCCAUCUCUAUUCUAUAAAAGAAUCUAGAAUUAUAUAAAAGAAUCUAUCCAGACCCCAACAAGAUGGUUAUUUUGAAACAUUUUCUGCCAUCUUCUCCGUCUGCUGGUUUUCUGAAUAAAAAACACCUGGUCUCCUGACUUACUGGCCUGUCCUGCAGUGAGCAGAGUAAGCUCUGACUUGGUAACAGUUCCUUCCUUGCUCUGUGGAGUGUAAAUGGAUGGGUGAGAUAGGAAACCACAUCUUUAGUAGCAACUGAAAUAGCUGAGCAGAAGGAGUAAGCAGCUUGGCUUUCAGAAGACAUGGCCAUUUAUGGCUGUCACCGCCUAACAGGGCCACCUGCACAGCCACCCUGAUUGCCCACACACAUUUGAGUCUGUUCAAAGACACAGAAGGAAUUUUCAUACAAAAGAAUCUUCUGGCCUUAGCAGUAAUUGAGUCAGACUGUGAUGGAAGAUCGACACAUUUAUAUUAUCGUCACACAGAGGUUUGAUUUUUCUACUGGCACAAAGUAUUCUGAAAAAGAAUGGAAAAUUACCCCUGUUUACUUCAAAGAGCAAGGCUGACUUCCUCGAAAUCUGUAGCCCUUCGGUGUUGCUCAGGGCAACUGAUUUAAUUCAAAGACAGCCUGUCUGUGAUUGACAGCUUAAGAAAAGUCAGGUUUAUUUGUGAGAGAUUUGUGAUCAGAUUAUAGUAGGGAUGUAGAAAGAUAUCAAGCAGUUAGGAAAACAAGAGCAGAUUUUAGAUCUGUUUAGCAAGUUGAGAAAAGUCUAUUACCAAAAACCUGCACUCGUGUGAGAAUUUGCAGGCAAGCUAUUGGAUAACUUCUAAGAAAAUAUUCACCAGAGGCAUAGAAAUAACUAAACAAAUCUGGCGAAUGCAUUUUCACACAAGGA
ensembl:lncRNA